rnacentral:misc_RNA from 1 species
AUCAUCGUACUUCCAUCCUCCAAGCACGCUACACACACAUGCACUGGUCUUCAUUGCACCAGCUUCACAGGCCAACGAUAUCAUCACUCACUGCUCUAGUUGAUUGAGUCAUCCCGCUCCCAGCAUCGACUGCCCACAUCUCUGUCUCCUCCCCUCUGCUCUGGCAGCGCCCCGUAGGUCUCUUGCCAUGCUGCUGAGCCGACGCUGGCACCAGGCCAGUGCUGCGCGUGGCAGCAGGGCCCCCGUCGUCUCCUUCACGGCUGCGGCGCUUACUAAAACGCUGGUGGCCGAUCCGCCGCCGCUGCCGCCGAUGAAGGGCGUCGCCUUUGGCACCCUCUUUACGCCGCACAUGGUGAUAAUCGACUUCAACGACGGCAGGUGGGGUGCGCCGGCGAUCGUACCUUUCGCCAACUUUUCGCUGCCGCCGCAGACGUCGUGCCUGCACUACGCGACACAGUGCUUCGAGGGAAUGAAAGUGUACGCGGACAUUGCCGACAUCACGAGGGCUGCGAGGGGUGAGAAGCUGGAGAAGCAGAGCCUGCGCCUGUUCCGCCCUGACCGGAACGUUGCGCGCCUGCGCCACAGCAUGCGCUCUCUGUGCUUCCCGGACUUUGACGAGGCGGAGAUGCUGAAGGUGAUCAUGGAGUUCGUGAGGACGGAGAAAGAUUACGUGCCUAAGGAGCACGGCUACUCGCUGUACCUGCGUCCGGCUGCUAUCGGCACCGCAGAUAGCCUCGGCGCCACUCCCUCGAGGUCGGUGCGUCUCUUCGUGAUUGCUUCGCCCGUGGGGCCGUACUACCUGCCGCCGGAGGACCAGUCGGGUGCGAUGGCCAUCAAGCCCGUGACGCUGCUUGCGGAGGAUAAGCGCAAGCGCGCGUGGCCCGGUGGCACUGGCGGCAGCAAGCUGGGUGCCAACUACGCUGGGCCGCUGCUGGUUCAGGAGGAGGCGCAGGCUCUCGGCUACAACCAGGUGCUGUGGCUCGGCUCCAAGGAUGAGGUGCAGGAGGCCGGAUUCAUGAACUUCUGCACGCUGUGGAAGACGAAGGAGGGCAAGACAGAGCUGGUCACCGCGCCGCUGGACGGGACGAUCCUGCCCGGCGUGACGCGCGACUCGAUCCUGGCGCUUGCACGGUCGUGGGGCGAGUUCGAGGUGUCGGAGCGCCCGUACUACAUGUCUGAGCUGGCGGAGGCGCUGCAGGAGGGGCGCGUGAUGGAGUGCUUCGGAUGCGGCACGGCUGCCAUCGUGUCUUCCGUGAGCAUGAUUGCGUAUCGCGGCAAGGAAUACAGCGUGCCGCUCUCGGAGCCGAGCUACGCGCGCCGGUUCCUGAACGAGAUCAUGGAUAUCCAGUACGGCAAGACGCCGAGCCCGUGGUCAGUGAAGGUUGAGGCUUGAAGCGGGGACGAUGCUCUUGGUCGCUCGCACCGAGGACGCCCAGGCGGGUGUGGCGGCGCUUUUCGGGACACGAAGGCUCGGUGAGUAGCGCAGCGACUGCGCGGAAGACGACGGGCAGGCAGCGCAGACGCGCGAUAACUUUGGCGGCACGUACUCCGCCACACACGCACACUCGCGUACGGCAGUGGGAGAGGCACGUAUAUGUUGCACCCUCUUUUCGGAGGGUAGAGAUGGGCGCGGGUUCUCGGUGCCCAUCCAUGUUUUCUUUUUCGAAACCCUGGGUGUGCGUGCGCGUCUCACCGUACGACGCCAUCCGUGUCUCUAUGUCUCUCUCCUGCUGUUUUUUUUUUUUGGCGUGGGCCAUCGCCCAUGAACCCCAUGCCUCCCCCAGAUCCGAUCCCAUCCCACGCAAGCACUCACGUGAAGGGAAGGAGAAGCGCCACGCGCCACACACUUCUUGUUCUCGUAGCAUUUUUCUUCCUUCCUUUGGUCUCUGUUUUCUUCGUAAUCCUGGCUAGCGUCCCUGGUGAUGCCAGACACCUCCGUGCGUGGCGUCUCACGGUCCCGUACCUCCCCUCCCCCACUCUGUGGCGAAAGUCAGGCAGCCCCCCACCCCUACCCCUGCCAGUGCCGAGCCGCUUCCGGUGGUGACAGGGUCAGGUGCCUACCCCACAGGGGAGGCCAGCGCGACUCCUGUCCGCAGCCAGGCCCUGGACGGCGUGUUGCUGGAGCGGCCGGCGACUGUGAAGGCGCUUGUGCCGUCCGCGCGAUGGGCCGAGCGUCAGCGCGGCUCGCGCGCACGCCACCCGGUGCUCGCUGCCUGCUGGCGGGGAGCCUUUAUGCGACCCCGAGGGGGUGCACCCGGUGGCGGCGGGCGGGUGGGUGGAUGGGGGGGCACAAUGGGCGCGGCUGCGAGGCGGCCUGCGGGGCGCGGGUGGUGUGCCGACGUUGAGGCGGAGGCCGCGCCCCGGCGACUGUGGCGGCGCAUUGCUGGGAGGCGUGUGUGUCCCGCUGCUUCGCGCCGCGCGAUGACGGUCCUGUGCGGCCGGGCCGGGGGCCAGAGUGGUGGUGGGGGUGGCUGGGCUCAUGCUCCAUGGCGGCGAAUGGCCGCGCUGAGAAGCGAAUGCGGUGCUCACAUCGAAGCGUUUUUGUUUUCCUGCUCUUGUUGCGUUGCCUGUCUUCCUGUUUACUUGCAUGUCGGUGCGGCUAAUAUGUUGUCCUCCCCCUUUCUGUGCACACGCGGAUAUCUGUGUGCCUGUGUAUGACCGUGACCCUCAUGGCUUCCUCCCCCCAUCUCUUGUUCUCCCGUCGCACCUCUCUUUGCCUCUGUUUUGUCCGCAUUUCUUUCCGCUCCUCCCCACCCCCGCUCAUGAGGUCAGCUGCCGGCGCCCCCCACGCCUCGCUCGCCGCCUACCUGCUCUCCGUCGUUUGCUUGAAUUGUUUGUGCAUCCUUCGCAUGCUGCUAUGCAUACAUACAUUUGUCUCUCCCCGUCUCUGCGCGCCCCUACCCUUCCUUCGUCCUUCGCCUCUCUCCCUGUAGCUCUCCCCUGUCUCUGCCGCUGCCGCCGACCUCCCCCUCUGUUGAUCCCCCCUCCCUCCCUCGUGCGUGCAUCUUCCUUUCCGCUUGCUGUUGUGGGGGUGUCGCGUUUUGUGUGCGCCUCUUUGUCCGUCGCUCUCCUUGCCGAGCUCUGUGCGCCCUCCUCAUCCUGUUAUCCUUGCCGUCUUCUGCAGAGGGCUCAUGCGGGAGCCCGCAACUGGUGCGAGUGGGCAUGGCUACACGGCGCUUGCUGAGUGCGCUGCGUGGGUGGGUGAGAGCUGCGUUGGCGGCCGGGCGAGUGGAAGACUACAGCCAUCGCCUUUUCAUUUUUUGUUUUCUUCGUAAUCCUGGAUAGCGUCCCUGGUGAUGCCAGACACCUCCGUGCGUGGCGUCUCACGGUCCCGUACCUCCCCCUCCCCCACUCUGUGGCGAAAGUCAGGCAGCCCCCCACCCCUACCCCUGCCAGUGCCGAGCCGCUUCCGGUGGUGACAGGGUCAGGUGCCUACCCCACAGGGGAGGCCAGCGCGACUCCUGUCCGCAGCCAGGCCCUGGACGGCGUGCUGCUGGAGCGGCCGGCGACUGUGAAGGCGCUUGUGCCGUCCGCGCGAUGGGCCGAGCGUCAGCGCGGCUCGCGCGCACGCCACCCGGUGCUCGCUGCCUGCUGGCGGGGAGCUUUUAUGCGACCCCGAGGGGGUGCACCCGGUGGCGGCCUGCGGGGCGCGGGUGGCGUGCCGACGUUGAGGCGGAGGCCGCGCUGAAGCAGGCUGACAAAACUACUGCUAUCGCCUUUUCUGCACUUCCGCUUUCCCCUCUAUGGCACCGCAUGGGCGUCAG